rnacentral:lncRNA from 1 species
CCGGUACAGAGUCAAUGUGGAGGCUAUAUACAGGGUAUUACGGUACAGAGUCAAUGUGGAGGCUAUAUACAGGGGGUACCGGUACAGAGUCAAUGUGGAGGCUAUAUACAGGGGGUACCGAUACAGAGUCAAUGUGGAGGCUAUAUACAGGGGGUACCGGUACAGAGUCAAUGUGGAGGCUAUAUACAGGGGGUACCGGUACAGAGUCAAUGUGGAGGCUAUAUACAGGGGGUACCGGUACAGAGUCAAUGUGGAGGCUAUAUACAGGGUGUACCGGUACAGAGUCAAUGUGGAGGCUAUAUACAGGGGGUACCGGUACAGAGUCAAUGUGG